UCAAAGCCUGAGGGAUAGAAGCGGCAUCCAGGCAAUGGAUACAGCGGAUAGCCCGGCCCCGG
rnacentral:sRNA from 1 species